AUUGAACGCUGGCGGCAGGCCUAACACAUGCAAGUCGAGCGAGCGGCGGACGGGUGAGUAAUGUCUGGGAAACUGCCUGAUGGAGGGGGAUAACUACUGGAAAUGGUAGCUAAUACCGCAUACCAUCAGAUUUGCCCAGAUGGGAUUAGCUAGUAGGUGGGGUAAUGGCUCACCUAGGCGACGAUCCCUAGCUGGUCUGAGAGGAUGACCAGCCGCAUUGUAACUGUGACACGGUCCAGACUCCAACGUGAGGCUGCAGUGGGGAAUAUUGCACAAUGGUCGCAAGCCUGAUGCUGCCAUGCCGCGUGCGUGAAUAAGGCCUGUGGGUUGUAAAGCACUUUCAGCGGGGAGGCGUUACCCGCAGAAGACGCACCGGCUAACUCCGUGACAGCAGGCGCGGUAAUUC
rnacentral:rRNA from 1 species